rnacentral:rRNA from 1 species
AGAGUUUGAUCCUGGCUCAGGAUGAACGCUGGUGGCGUGCUUAACACAUGCAAGUCGAACGAAGCACUUUAUUUGAUUUCCUUCGGGACUGAUUAUUUUGUGACUGAGUGGCGGACGGGUGAGUAACGCGUGGGUAACCUGCCUUGUACAGGGGGAUAACAGUUGGAAACGGCUGCUAAUACCGCAUAAGCGCACAGCAUCGCAUGAUGCAGUGUGAAAAACUCCGGUGGUAUAAGAUGGACCCGCGUUGGAUUAGCUAGUUGGUGAGGUAACGGCCCACCAAGGCGACGAUCCAUAGCCGACCUGAGAGGGUGACCGGCCACAUUGGGACUGAGACACGGCCCAAACUCCUACGGGAGGCAGCAGUGGGGAAUAUUGCACAAUGGGCGAAAGCCUGAUGCAGCGACGCCGCGUGAGCGAAGUAGUAUUUCGGUAUGUAAAGCUCUAUCAGCAGGGAAGAUAAUGACGGUACCUGACUAAGAAGCACCGGCUAAAUACGUGCCAGCAGCCGCGGUAAUACGUAUGGUGCAAGCGUUAUCCGGAUUUACUGGGUGUAAAGGGAGCGCAGGCGGUGCGGCAAGUCUGAUGUGAAAGCCCGGGGCUCAACCCCGGUACUGCAUUGGAAACUGUCGUACUAGAGUGUCGGAGGGGUAAGCGGAAUUCCUAGUGUAGCGGUGAAAUGCGUAGAUAUUAGGAGGAACACCAGUGGCGAAGGCGGCUUACUGGACGAUAACUGACGCUGAGGCUCGAAAGCGUGGGGAGCAAACAGGAUUAGAUACCCUGGUAGUCCACACCGUAAACGAUGAUUACUAGGUGUUGGGAGAUUGACCCUCUCAGUGCCGCAGUUAACACAAUAAGUAAUCCACCUGGGGAGUACGACCGCAAGGUUGAAACUCAAAGGAAUUGACGGGGGCCCGCACAAGCAGUGGAGUAUGUGGUUUAAUUCGACGCAACGCGAAGAACCUUACCAAGUCUUGACAUCCCUUGACGAUGCUGGAAACAGUAUUUCUCUUCGGAGCAAGGAGACAGGUGGUGCAUGGUUGUCGUCAGCUCGUGUCGUGAGAUGUUGGGUUAAGUCCCGCAACGAGCGCAACCCUUAUGGUCAGUUACUACGCAAGAGGACUCUGGCCAGACUGCCGUUGACAAAACGGAGGAAGGUGGGGAUGACGUCAAAUCAUCAUGCCCUUUAUGACUUGGGCUACACACGUACUACAAUGGCGUUAAACAAAGAGAAGCAAGACCGCGAGGUGGAGCAAAACUCAGAAACAACGUCCCAGUUCGGACUGCAGGCUGCAACUCGCCUGCACGAAGUCGGAAUUGCUAGUAAUCGUGGAUCAGCAUGCCACGGUGAAUACGUUCCCGGGCCUUGUACACACGCCCGUCACACCAUGAGAGCCGGGGGGACCCGAAGUCGGUAGUCUAACCGCAAGGAGGACGCCGCCGAAGGUAAAACUGGUGAUUGGGGUGAAGUCGUAACAAGGUA